GGUGGACCACGUGAAGGUUGCAAUCUCCCACCCCAGGGUCUCCAAUGAGGUAGAUAGUAGUUCAGCACUGCUCUCUAGU